rnacentral:guide_RNA from 1 species
AUAUAUAACCAACAAAGAAGCAUUGUCUUAUAGAUUGAUAGAUUUAU